rnacentral:tRNA from 1 species
GCCGGGGUGUUGAAAUUGGUAGACAAGACAGUCUUAGAAGCUGUUGGGGGUAACCCCAUGGAGGUUCAAGUCCUCUCCCCGGCA